AAAUGGUCGCAGCUGCAAGGCCGAAAGGCUGCAGGUGAGGAAAGUCCGGGCUUCGCAGGGCAGGAUGCCAGAUAACGUCUGGCGGAGGCGACUCCAGGGAAAGUGCAACAGAAAUAUACCGCCGCAUUGCGGUAAGGGUGGAAAGGUGGUGUAAGAGACCACCGCUCUUCUGGUAACAGAAGGGGUCCAUGUAAACCCCAUCCGAAGCAAGACCGAACAGGAGGCAUAAGGCGGCCCGUCUGCCUCCGGGUAGGUUGCUUGAGCCUGCUGGUGACGGCAGGCCUAGAUAGAUGGCCAUUCAAUGACAUAACCCGGCUUAUCGUCUUGCUCA
rnacentral:RNase_P_RNA from 1 species